GGGAGCCGUAACACAGGUGCUGCAUGGCUGUCGUCAGCUCGUGUCGUGAGAUGUUGGGUUAAGUCCCGCAACGAGCGCAACCCUUGUCCCUAGUUGCUACGCAAGAGCACUCCAGGGAGACUGCCGGUGACAAACCGGAGGAAGGUGGGGAUGACGUCAAGUCCUCAUGGCCCUUAUGGGUAGGGCUUCACACGUCAUACAAUGGUCGGAACAGAGGGUUGCCAAGCCGCGAGGUGGAGCCAAUCCCAGAAAACCGAUCGUAGUCCGGAUCGCAGUCUGCAACUCGACUGCGUGAAGCUGGAAUCGCUAGUAAUCGCGGAUCAGCAUGCCGCGGU
rnacentral:rRNA from 1 species